rnacentral:lncRNA from 1 species
CCGACCUUAUGUGUGGCAUCUCUCUGAACCCCCUCGAUCGUCCGGACUUUUUGAUAAUGAACUUCUGCAUUCAUCUACCGGGCCACCCCAAAAGCUCUCUGGGCCUCACUACUAGCCAACUUUCUACAGUAAUCAACUACUCUCCGAAUCCCUUCCGAACUUCUUUCAACCACGAACGACCCUAUUUCAAGCUUCUUUCGGACUUCGUCAGCAUUCGAGCUUCUCCGACAAC